UACGUAGGGGGCAAGCGUUGUCCGGAAUCAUUGGGCGUAAAGCGCGUGUAGGCGGCUUGGUAAGUCCGUUCUGAAAGCCCGGGGCUCAACCCCGGGAGGCGGAUGGAUACUGCCAAGCUCGAGUCCGGAAGAGGCAAGUGGAAUUCCCGGUGUAGCGGUGAAAUGCGCAGAUAUCGGGAGGAACACCAAUGGCGAAGGCAGCUUGCUGGGACGGUACUGACGCUGAGACGCGAAAGCGUGGGGAGCAAACAGG
rnacentral:rRNA from 1 species